CACCUCUCAGGAUCGCACCUGGAGAGUUUCCAAAACUCUACCAGUCUCAACUACGAGAAGGAGAGUCAAGCCAGAGGCAUAUCCAUUCCAUUCCUAGCUUGGGCAGUGGCUAGCAAAAGGAAGGGAAUCUGCUAUAAGU